UAUAGCGCCAUAAUGAAAUAUCAAACUAGUGAAAUUCUAGACCAUUCCACUUCACCUUUCCCUUUUCUUUCUCUUUGCCCUUCAGAUUGUUUGUUUCUUUCAUACCACCGUGACCUAACAGGAAGACCAUCUCCUUUCUGGCGUGCAUGUCAUACCCAGAUUUAUUUACCCAGACAACAAACCCCUCUCUCCAUCACUUUGUCGCAAUCCAUGGCCUCAUCCCCAUGUCGUUUGCUGUCCACCACCAAAAAUUCAAGAACCUAGGACAUCUAUUCCACCAAAACUCAAAUCGACACCUAAAUCUUCCUUUCCCAAACACAUGAGACCGCCGUUUUUCUCCCAAUGUUUUAAGGUACUUUCCUCCAGCAACCCCUCCACCUACACAUUCACACUCCACAGCCUCCAAUUUGGGUUUGAUUUUUCUAAAUCUAUAUGUAUUUGUGCCUGGCUUUUAUUCUGUGAUUGGGGAUUUUUUAACUUGAUUUAUUAUUACAUAUGGAGGAUUUUUUUAAUCAGUUUUCUAUUUUUAUUUUUCAGUAUUUUUCUUUUUGCUAUGAAUCGGUAGGAUGAAAUUAUUUUUCUAGGAUGCUUCUGUUUUUCUUGUUGUUUAAAGGUACAAUCUUUCUGGCUUGUUGUUUAUACAAAUUAAUAAAAAAAAAAGAAGGUUUAGUAAUUUUGGGCUUUGUAGAUGCUUUGAAAUUGAACCAUACAUAAUCGUUUAAGCUACCACUUUAUACUUUACAGUCAAUUCCAAGAGCUAUCGUUUAUAUUUUAUGGAGAAGCGAUUUUAUUAUGUGAGGUUCUCUUUGAAUCCAGAGCAGUGAGUGCUCUAUACUUGAGUAGUUUUAAAAAUUAAAAACAUAAGCUACUGUUUAUUGGAUAUUAGGAUAUUAUAAUGCUUUCUAUUGUAGCGUUUAUCUUUUAGUUGCUCUGCAUUGUAAUCCUACACGUCCUGGAGGCUUAUCUUCUCAUGUUGCUUGUGUAUACCAAUACUUGUAUCACUCAUACAAAAAUCAAUGAAUCAAUCGCUUUUUACUAAUGAUGGAAUUGUGCUUAUUGGUUAUAUUUGGUUUUUGGGAUCACUAUCUAAUCCAUAGUUUGUAAUACACUUCAAUAUUUUUUUUUUCUUUUUUUUGUGUUUUUGGGCUUCUACAUUUGGAUCUUUCUGAAUGUUUGGUUAAUUCAUUUUUUUAUAUUAAUUUUCAAUUAUAGGUUGAUACUUGGUUGCUUGACUUCUAACCUUUUUAUUGGCUCAUAUGAGGAAUUGGGUGCGUGCUGUAUUCUCUUUGUUGUGAUGGACUUUUGUUUGAAAUUUUCGUUGAAGUUCUUGUUUCACUAAAGUCUACUUGCUUUGUUUUUUAAAUGGGAUUGAGUAUUUUAGGUUUCACUGUUUUUUUUUUUUUUUAGGAAUGGUCUCUUCGUGUACGGUUAGGUACACUAAUAUAGAAAUGGUCCAAAGAUCUAAAUAGCCUGGGCACCAAACAACUUUUGUCAAUCCAUUUCUGUCCUUUGUAGGUCGCUCAUGCUAUUCGUUAGAUCACCAUCUAUAUUUCCAAGUGCAAUGACAAAUAUAUACAGGUUAAGUGAUUUAAUAACUUAAAUAAGUGUUAAUAUGCCCACCUUUAAGUGUAUUGUAGGAAUUGUAUUAGCACUUUUUUUCUUGUUAUAAUGUCUUUUUUUUUUUUUGUAAAUUAUAAACUUAUAUAUGCAUUUGAACAACAUUUGGGUUACCUAAUCUUUUUUAUUGAGUGAAACAGUUUUUGAUAGGUAUGUUGGAAAUGAUUCCUUCCCAAAUCUAGAGCGACCUCCACGUCACAUGGGGUACUCAGCAAGGUUCUACUUUUGCAAAAGAGAUGGGGAUGUUACAGACUUACAGUGAUACUGCAACCCAAAUAAUCUGUUUUCAAAAUCCAAAUAAUCUGUGAUAUGUUAUAGUAGUAGUAGAAUAACACUGGGGCAUAGCCUAGUACUUAAAUUAUUGACUUUGUUGCUUAGCCUAGUACUAUGUGGGGGCG